rnacentral:rRNA from 1 species
CAAGUAAGGGGCGAGCGUUGCUCGGCAUCACUGGGCGUAAAGGGCGUGUAGGCGGUAAUGUAAGUUAAAUGUAAAAGACCGUGGCUCAACUGCGGGGUUGCAUUUAAAACUGCAUUACUUGAGUCUGGUGGAGGGUGAUGGAAUUCCCGGUGUAGCGGUGAAAUGCGUAGAUAUCGGGAAUAAUACCGAAGGCGAAGGCAAUCAUCUAUGCCAAGACUGACGCUGAGGCGCGAAAGCAUGGGUAUCAAACAGG